AGUCCCUACGGGGGGCAGCAGUGGGGAAUCUUCCGCAAUGGGCGAAAGCCUGACGGAGCAACGCCGCGUGAAUGAAGAAGGUCUUCGGAUCGUAAAGUUCUGUUCUUAGGGAAGAAGUCUUAGGUUGUGAACAAUGACUUAAGGUGACGGUACCUAUGGAGGAAGCUCCGGCUAACUACGUGCCAGCAGCCGCGGUAAUACGUAGGGAGCGAGCGUUGUCCGGAAUUACUGGGCGUAAAGGGCGCGUAGGCGGGAACUUACGUUAGAUGUGAAAUGUCCGGGCUAAACCUGGAGACUG
rnacentral:rRNA from 1 species